UGCGUAGGUGGGUUGGUAAGUCAGUGGUGAAAUCCCCGAGCUUAACUUGGGAACUGCCAUUGAUACUAUCAGUCUUGAAUACCGUGGAGGUUAGCGGAAUAUGUCAUGUAGCGGUGAAAUGCUUAGAUAUGACAUAGAACACCAAUUGCGAAGGCAGCUGGCUACACGAAUAUUGACACUGAGGCACGAAAGCGUGGGGAUCAAACA
rnacentral:rRNA from 1 species